CCCCUUUCUCCACACCAGCCAUUGCCUGUCAGCUGCACCAGAAAAGGGAGAGUUGGGGGAAAUUGAGUUUUGUCUUGGGUCCCCUUUACUUCUCCACUACAGCCUCGGAUUUGCCAGCAGCCUAGAAAGCCUAAAGCCUCUGGGAGGAGGGAAAGAAAGUGCUGGGGGGCAGAGCCGGACUUUGUGAACUUUCACUCGAGGCCUCUAACCCUCUGCCCCCACAGGUGUUAUUAACUUUCCUCUUUGAGUCGAGGGAGGUGAAGCUCCAACAGGAUUGACUGUGAACUCGGGGCUUGGAAUGGACCCUCUUAGAACUUCAUUCGCUCCUUGACUCGCUCUAUGGCCGCCCAAGGCUCCAAAGCUGUGAAAUUUGGCAGAAUAAUUAGGACUGAGAACCCGACCAAGCUGUUGUGAGGAGAUGGUGGGCGGGCCCAUCCCUAAGGCCAAGUGCUCUGGAAAGGCAAACACGGGAAAGGUGGAGAAACUAGAGGAUGGUGAAGGCACGCUUAUGAAAGGAUUCUGAAUCCCUGAUUACCCACGUGGAACAGAACUCUUCCUUGCCUCAUCUCACCAACCUUCACUGAAGUGUGAUGGAAGUUGUGGGUCUGUCUGCUGAUGGUCAUCAGUGAUUCUGCACAGAUGUCUCCUUCCCCACCUACUCUGUGGUAGGCAAAAUAAUGGCCCAAAGAUGUCCUAAUACCUGGAACCUGUGAAUAUGUUACUUUACAGGGCAAAAAGAAUUUUACUGCUGUGAUUAAGUUAAGGACUGACAGAUGGGGAGAUCAUCGUGGAUUACCAAAGUGGGCCCAAUGUAAUCGGAAGGGCCCUUAAAAUAUGGGAGAGGAAGACAGAGAGUCAGAGAAGGAGAUAUGGUGAUGGAAGAGAUGUUGGAGAGAUUCAGUUUCUAGCUUUGAAGACAGAAGACCAGGAGCCAAAAAAUGCAGGCAGCUUCUAGAAGCUGGAAUGGAUUCUCCCCUAGAGCCUUUAGAAGGAACACAGCCCUUCCAAACCCUUCAUUGUACCCCAGAAAGACCCAUAUUAGAUCUCUAUCCUACAAAUAAUAAAUGGAUAUUAUUUGU
rnacentral:lncRNA from 1 species